CGGGGAGCCGGGACAAACCAUUCCCUGCGAGGGGGCACCGCCGGCGGCCGGGCGGCCGAGCGGGGCGGGGAGCGCGGGGCCUCCCACACAGACUAUAAGAGCAUGAAGCAUUCAAAAAGAAACGUGCAAAAGAAGUCUGUGGAAAAAUCUAUGUCUGCUCAUAUAGUUGUCCUGCCUUAAUUUUCUUCUCUCUACCAUUUUCAAACAUUCCCUUCUGUCCUGCACCCCAGCCUUUCUCUUUCUUUCUUCCUUGAAAUCCCAGCUGCCAUGGAAAUCCUGCUCUCCAACACCACUGAAACUCUCAGAAGCCUUUUACUUCUAACUGUAUAACCCUGAAAUUUGUGGAUGAAAAAGCCCUCUAUAACUGCAAUUUAGCUUCCUGGCUUGUAAGUGUAAGGAAAAGGCUCUGCAGGCACCUGACUGAAGAACAUCUUCUGAAACCC